rnacentral:rRNA from 1 species
AUACGAAGGUCCCGAGCGUUAUUCGGAAUCACUGGGCGUAAAGGGAGCGUAGGCUGUACGGUAAGUCAGAUGUGAAAUCUCAGAGCUCAACUCUGAAACUGCAUCCGAUACUGCCGUACUAGAGUAAUGGAGGGGUAACUGGAAUUCUCGGUGUAGCAGUGAAAUGCGUAGAUAUCGAGAGGAAGACCAACGGCGAAGGCAGGUUACUGGACAUUUACUGACGCUGAGGCUCGAAGGCUAGGGUAGCGAAAGGGAUUAGAAACCCUUGUAGUCC